UACCUUACUACUUGGAUAACCGUGGUAAUUCUAGAGCUAAUACAUGCUGCCAACCCCGACUCCGGAAGGGGCGUAUUUAUUAGAUCCAAAGCCAACGCCCUUCUGGGGCUCCUUGGUGAUUCAUGAUAACUCUUCGAAUCGCACGGCCUUGCGCCGGCGAUGGUUCAUUCAAAUUUCUUCCCUAUCAACUUUCGAUGUUUGGGUAUUGGCCAAACAUGGUCGCAACGGGUAACGGAGGGUUAGGGCUCGACCCCGGAGAAGGAGCCUGAGAAACGGCUACUACAUCCAAGGAAGGCAGCAGGCGCGCAAAUUACCCAAUCCCGACACGGGGAGGUAGUGACAAUAAAUACUGAUACAGGGCUCUUUAGGGUCUUGUAAUUGGAAUGAGUACAGUUUAAACCCCUUAGCGAGGAACAAUUGGAGGGCAAGUCUGGUGCCAGCAGCCGCGGUAAUUCCAGCUCCAAUAGCGUAUAUUAAAGUUGUUGUGGUUAAAAAGCUCGUAGUUGAACCUUGGGCCUGGCUGGCCGGUCCGCCUCACCGCGUGCACUGGUCCGGCCGGGCCUUUCCCUCUGCGGAACCCCAUGCCCUUCGCUGGGCGUGGCGGGGAGGCAGGACGUUUACUUUGAAAAAAUUAGAGUGCUCAAGGCAGGCCUAUGCUCGGAUACAUUAGCAUGGAAUAAUGAAACAGGACGCGCGGUUCCGUUUCGUUGGCUCUAGGGACCGCCGUAAUGAUCGAUAGGGACAGUCGGGGGCAUCAGUAUUCAGCUGUCAGAGGUGAAAUUCUUGGAUUUGCUGAAGACUAACUACUGCGAAAGCAUUUGCCAAGGAUGUUUUCAUUAAUCAGGAACGAAAGUUAGGGGAUCGAAGACGAUCAGAUACCGUCGUAGUCCUAACCAUAAACUAUGCCGACUAGGGAUCGGACGAUGUUGUCUCUUGACGCGUUCGGCACCUUGCGAGAAAUCAAAGUGC
rnacentral:rRNA from 1 species